rnacentral:rRNA from 1 species
UGCAGUCGAGCGCACCUUUCGGGGUGAGCGGCGGACGGGUUAGUAACGCGUGGGAAUAUACCCUUUGGUACGGAAUAGCCUCUGGAAACGGAGAGUAAUACCGUAUGAGCCCUUCGGGGGAAAGAUUUAUCGCCAAAGGAUUAGCCCGCGUUAGAUUAGGUAGUUGGUGGGGUAAUGGCCUACCAAGCCUACGAUCUAUAGCUGGUUUUAGAGGAUGAUCAGCAACACUGGGACUGAGACACGGCCCAGACUCCUACGGGAGGCAGCAGUGGGGAAUCUUGGACAAUGGGCGCAAGCCUGAUCCAGCCAUGCCGCGUGAGUGAUGAAGGCCUUAGGGUCGUAAAGCUCUUUCGCCUGUGAAGAUAAUGACGGUAGCAGGUAAAGAAACCCCGGCUAACUCCGUGCCAGCAGCCGCGGUAAUACGGAGGGGGUUAGCGUUGUUCGGAAUUACUGGGCGUAAAGCGCACGUAGGCGGACUGGAAAGUAUGGGGUGAAAUCCCAGGGCUCAACCCUGGAACUGCCUCAUAAACUAUCAGUCUAGAGUUCGAGAGAGGUGAGUGGAAUUCCGAGUGUAGAGGUGAAAUUCGUAGAUAUUCGGAGGAACACCAGUGGCGAAGGCGGCUCACUGGCUCGAUACUGACGCUGAGGUGCGAAAGUGUGGGGAGCAAACAGGAUUAGAUACCCUGGUAGUCCACACCGUAAACGAUGAAUGCCAGUCGUCGGGUAGCAUGCUAUUCGGUGACACACCUAACGGAUUAAGCAUUCCGCCUGGGGAGUACGGUCGCAAGAUUAAAACUCAAAGGAAUUGA